rnacentral:rRNA from 1 species
AUGCCCGCCGCGCACUCCCUCCUCCACCUCGCGGCGCCCAAGUCCGUCGCCCCAACGUCCACCCUCUCGCCGGCCGGCGCCGCCCACCUCCGCCUGCUGCCCUCCCGCCGGCCUCAGCGCCUGGUCACGUCCUGUAGCUCAGCCCACCCUGACCUCGCCGCCUUCCCCAACCCAAACGGCCUCCUGGUGGCCGAGCCCGCUGCGGCAGCGCCCAUCGACAUUGACGUGGCCACGGAGGCCGAGCUGCGGGAGAACGGGUCCCGGAGUACGCGCCGCACCAAGCUCGUCUGCACCGUGGGCCCCGCCACCUGCGGCCCCUCGGAGCUGGAGGCGCUGGCCGUGGGGGGGAUGAACGUCGCGCGUCUCAACAUGUGCCACGGGGACCGCGAGUGGCACCAGAAGGUCAUCAGCUCCGUGCGGAGGCUCAACGAGGAGAAGGGGUAUGCUGUUGCCGUCAUGAUGGACACCGAGGGGAGCGAGAUCCACAUGGGGGACCUCGGCGGCGCGCCAGCGGCCAAGGCAGAGGAUGGAGAAAUCUGGACAUUCAGUGUUAGAUCUUUUGAGGCACCUCUCCCAGAACUAACUGUUCAUGUGAACUACGAAGGCUUCGCUGAAGAUGUGAGAGUUGGUGAUGAUCUUCUUGUGGAUGGUGGAAUGGCUCGGUUUGAGGUCGUUGAGAAACUAGGACCGGAUGUGAAGUGCCGUUGCACAGAUCCUGGUUUGCUGUUGCCACGUGCCAAUCUUACAUUUUGGCGGGAUGGCAGUGUUGUCCGCGCGAAGAAUGCCAUGCUUCCGACAAUUACAUCUAAGGAUUGGCUCGACAUAGACUUUGGAAUUGCUGUAGGUGUAGAUUUUAUUGCAGUUUCAUUUGUUAAGUCAGCUGAGGUUAUUAACCAUCUAAAGAGCUACAUAGCAGCAAGGAGUCGUGGCAGUGAUAUAGCGGUCAUUGCAAAGAUCGAGAGCAUUGACUCUUUGACAAACUUGGAGGAGAUCAUCCGUGCAUCAGAUGGUGCCAUGGUAGCCAGAGGGGACUUAGGGGCACAAAUUCCCUUGGAGCAGGUCCCUUCAAUACAACAAAAGAUAGUUAAACUGUGCAGGCAGCUAAACAAGCCAGUCAUUGUUGCUUCCCAGCUUCUCGAAUCGAUGAUCGAGUAUCCUAUACCCACCAGGGCCGAAGUUGCUGAUGUUUCUGAAGCAGUCCACCAACGUGCGGAUGCUCUGAUGCUUUCUGGCGAGUCAGCAAUGGGUAGAUAUCCAGAUAAGGCACUCAUUGUCCUCAGUAGUGUUAGCUUAAGGAUUGAAAGAUGGUGGAGGGAGGAGAAGCACCAUGAGCCACUAGAACUUGAGGACGUUUCGUCUUCUUUCUCUGACAAAAUAUCAGAAGAGAUCUGCAUUUCUGCUGCUAAAAUGGCUAACAAGUUGGAAGUGGAUGCCGUUUUCGUCUACACGAAGGGUGGCCAUAUGGCCUCCCUGCUUUCACGGUGCCGCCCUGACUGCCCAAUCUUCGCCUUCACGAACUCGACGUCCGUGAGGAGACGACUGAACCUCCAAUGGGGCCUCAUCCCCUUCCGCCUCACUUUCUCCGAUGACAUGGAGAGCAACCUGAACCGUACUUUCUCCCUGCUCAAGGCGAGAGGCAUGAUCAAGUCCGGUGACCUGGUGAUCGCCCUCUCCGACAUGCUGCAGUCCAUCCAGGUGAUGAACGUACCAUAA